UACGUAGGGGGCUAGCGUUGUCCGGAUUUAUUGGGCGUAAAGAGCGUGUAGGCGGCCAGAUAGGUCUGCUGUGAAAACUCGAGGCUCAACCUCGAGAUGUCGGCGGAAACCAUUUGGCUAGAGUCCGGAAGAGGAAAGUGGAAUUCCUGGUGUAGCGGUGAAAUGCGCAGAUAUCAGGAAGAACACCCGUGGCGAAGGCGGCUUUCUGGGACGGUACUGACACUGAGACGCGAAAGCGUGGGGAGCGAACAGG
rnacentral:rRNA from 1 species